UCUGAGAUGGCGCAGGACGCGCCAUCCGCGCAAACGCGCCGCCCGGGCAGCGGUUGCGGACGGGGCAACGUGGAGCCCCGCGGCAGACCGUGGCGACCAGGGACGGCCGCCUCGGAGUGCACUU
rnacentral:ncRNA from 1 species